AACCUGCCUUAUACAGGGGGAUAACAGUUAGAAAUGACUGCUAAUACCGCAUAAGCGCACAGUACCGCAUGGUAGUGUGUGAAAAACUCCGGUGGUAUAAGAUGGACCCGCGUCUGAUUAGCCAGUUGGCGGGGUAACGGCCCACCAAAGCGACGAUCAGUAGCCGACCUGAGAGGGUGACCGGCCACAUUGGGACUGAGACACGGCCCAAACUCCUACGGGAGGCAGCAGUGGGGAAUAUUGCACAAUGGGGGAAACCCUGAUGCAGCAACGCCGCGUGAGUGAAGAAGUAUUUCGGUAUGUAAAGCUCUAUCAGCAGGGAAGAAGAUGACGGUACCUGAUUAAGAAGCCCCGGCUAACUACGUGCCAGCAGCCGCGGUAAUACGUAGGGGGCAAGCGUUAUCCGGAUUUACUGGGUGUAAAGGGAGCGCAGACGGCAGUGCAAGUCUGGAGUGAAAGCCCGGGGCCCAACCCCGGAACUGCUCUGGAAACUGUGCGGCUAGAGUACUGGAGGGGCAGGCGGAAUUCCUAGUGUAGCGGUGAAAUGCGUAGAUAUUAGGAGGAACACCAGUGGCGAAGGCGGCCUGCUGGACAGUAACUGACGUUGAGGCUCGAAAGCGUGGGGAGCAAA
rnacentral:rRNA from 1 species